AAACCAACAGGCAUUGCUCUAGUAACGGCGAGUGAAGCAGCAAUAGCUCAAAUUUGAAAUCUGGCGUCUUCGACGUCCGAGUUGUAAUUUGUAGAGGAUGCUUCUGAGUGGCCACCGACCUAAGUUCCUUGGAACAGGACGUCAUAGAGGGUGAGAAUCCCGUAUGCGGUCGGAAAGGCGCUCUAUACGUAGCUCCUUCGACGAGUCGAGUUGUUUGGGAAUGCAGCUCUAAAUGGGAGGUAAAUUUCUUCUAAAGCUAAAUAUUGGCCAGAGACCGAUAGCGCACAAGUAGAGUGAUCGAAAGAUGAAAAGCACUUUGGGAAAGAGGGUUAAAAAGCACGUGAAAUUGUUAAAAGGGAGGGAUUGCAACCAGACUUGCUCGCGGUGUUCCGCCGGUCUUCUGACCGGUCUACUCGCCGCGUUGCAGGCCAGCAUCGUCUGGUGCCGCUGGAUAAGACUUGAGGAAUGUAGCUCCCUCGGGAGUGUAUAGCCU
rnacentral:rRNA from 1 species